UACGUAGGUGGCGAGCGUUGUCCGGAUUUACUGGGCGUAAAGAGCGCGCAGGCGGGCGGUGAAGGCGCGUGUGAAAGCCCCCGGCUCAACUGGGGAGGGUCACGCGAUACUGAUCGACUCGAAGGCAGGAGAGGGUAGUGGAAUUCCCGGUGUAGUGGUGAAAUGCGUAGAUAUCGGGAGGAACACCAGUGGCGAAGGCGACUACCUGGCCUGUUCUUGACGCUGAGGCGCGAAAGCUAGGGGAGCAAACGGG
rnacentral:rRNA from 1 species